AGUGAACGCUGGCGGUAGGCCUAACACAUGCAAGUCGAACGGCAGCACAGUAAGAGCUUGCUCUUACGGGUGGCGAGUGGCGGACGGGUGAGGAAUACAUCGGAAUCUACUUUUUCGUGGGGGAUAACGUAGGGAAACUUACGCUAAUACCGCAUACGACCUACGGGUGAAAGCAGGGGAUCUUCGGACCUUGCGCGAUUGAAUGAGCCGAUGUCGGAUUAGCUAGUUGGCGGGGUAAAGGCCCACCAAGGCGACGAUCCGUAGCUAGUCUGAGAGGAUGAUCAGCCACACUGGAACUGAGACACGGUCCAGACUCCUACGGGAGGCAGCAGUGGGGAAUAUUGGACAAUGGGCGCAGGCCUGAUCCAGCCAUACCGCGUGGGUGAAGAAGGCCUUCGGGUUGUAAAGCCCUUUUGUUGGGAAAGAAAAGCAGCAGGUUAAUACCCCGCUGUUCUGACGGUACCCAAAGAAUAAGCACCGGCUAACUUCGU
rnacentral:rRNA from 1 species